CCUACGGGAGGCAGCAGUGAGGAAUAUUGGUCAAUGGGCGCGAGCCUGAACCAGCCAAGUCGCGUGAGGGAAGACGGUCCUAUGGAUUGUAAACCUCUUUUGUCGGGGAGCAAAAGACGCCACGCGUGGCGUUCCGAGAGUACCCGAAGAAAAAGCAUCGGCUAACCCCGUGCCAGCAGCCGCGGGAAUACGGAGGAUGCGAGCGUUAUCCGGAUUUAUGGGGUUUAAAGGGUGCGCAGGCGGAAGAUCAAGUCAGCGGUAAAAUUGAGAGGCUCAACCUCUUCGAGCCGUUGAAACUGGUUUUCUUGAGUGAGUGAGAGGUAUGCGGAAUGCGUGGUGUAGCGGUGAAAUGCAUAGAUAUCACGCAGAACUCCGAUUGCGAAGGCAGCAUACCGGCGCUCAACUGACGCUCAUGCACGAAAGUGUGGGUAUCGAACAGGAUUAGAUACCCGAGUAGUC
rnacentral:rRNA from 1 species